UACAGAGGUCCCAAGCGUUACUGAGAAUCACUGGGUUUAAAGGGUGCGUAGGUGGUCCGUUAAGUCAGUUGUGAAAUCCCCGGGCUCAACCCGGGAACUGCUUCUGAUACUGGCGGACUUGAGGCCGGUAGGGGUCACUGGAACUGACGGUGGAGCGGUGAAAUGCGUAGAUAUCGUCAGGAACGCCGGUGGUGAAGACGGGUGACUUGGCCGGUUCUGACACUGAGGCACGAAAGCGUGGGGAGCGAACGGG
rnacentral:rRNA from 1 species